rnacentral:tRNA from 1 species
GGGCCCGUAGCUCAGCUGGUUAGAGCGUCUGCAUGGCAUGCAGAAGGUCGUCGGUUCGAUUCCGAUCGGGUCCA